AGAGCGAACGCUGGCGGCAGGCCUAACACAUGCAAGUCGAACGGACUCUUCGGAGUUAGUGGCGGACGGGUGAGUAACACGUGGGAACGUGCUUUUAGGUUCGGAAUAGCUCCUGGAAACGGGUGGUAAUGCCGAAUGUGCCCUUCGGGGGAAAGAUUUAUCGCCUUUGGAGCGGCCCGCGUCUGAUUAGCUAGUUGGUGAGGUAAAGGCUCACCAAGGCUACGAUCAGUAGCUGGUCUGAGAGGAUGACCAGCCACAUUGGGACUGAGACACGGUCCAGACUCCUACGGAGGCAGCAGUGGGGAAU
rnacentral:rRNA from 1 species